rnacentral:rRNA from 1 species
GAGACAGCAGUAGCCACGGGAACACAGAGGGUGCGAGCGUUAAUCGGAUUUACUGGGCGUAAAGCGUGCGUAGGCGGCUUCUUAAGUCGGAUGUGAAAUCCCUGAGCUUAACUUAGGAAUUGCAUUCGAUACUGGGAAGCUAGAGUAUGGGAGAGGAUGGUAGAAUUCCAGGUGUAGCGGUGAAAUGCGUAGAGAUCUGGAGGAAUACCGAUGGCGAAGGCAGCCAUCUGGCCUAAUACUGACGCUGAGGUACGAAAGCAUGGGGAGCAAACAGGAUUAGAUACCCCGGUAGUCCCUGUCUCUUAUAA